CGACAGCCAGUUUUAUAACUCGAAUUUCCCUCUUAUUUUCUGAUUCAAAUGAGACUCCUAAAGCCUUUUGGACUCAAAAUAACCUAACCCUAGAGCAACCUCUAUAAAUAGAAGAGAAAACGACAGACUGAAAGGAGACUGACGGGGGGGUUCGCUCUCGCUCUCUCUCUUUUUAUCUUUCAACAACACUUUUAGGAGUUUUAGAGAAACUCACAUUCUGCAGCCAUCUUGAAGAGAAGAAUUUCAGUAUCAAGGGGAGUUCUCCAGCCGAAGUCCCACAAGAUCAAAGUGGCAAACUCUCUUCGGUUCCUUCAU
rnacentral:misc_RNA from 1 species